UGGCUCAGUUGGUAGAGUAUGGUGUUUGCAAUGCCAGGGUUGUGGGUUCAAUUCCCAC
rnacentral:tRNA from 1 species